UACGAAGGGGGCUAGCGUUGCUCGGAAUCACUGGGCGUAAAGGGUGCGUAGGCGGGUUUUUAAGUCAGAGGUGAAAGCCUGGAGCUCAACUCCAGAAUUGCCUUUAAGACUGCAUCGCUUGAAUCAUGGAGAGGCGGGUGGAAUUCCGAGUGAUAGAGGUGAAAUUCGUAGAUAUUCGGAAGAACACCAGUGGCGAAAGGCGGCCCGCUGGGACAUGUAUUGACGCUGAGGUGCGAAAAGCGUGGGGAGCAAACAGG
rnacentral:rRNA from 1 species